AUACUCUAAUAGUUUACUAAAAACAUU
rnacentral:tRNA from 1 species